UACGAAGGGGGCUAGCGUUGCUCGGAAUGACUGGGCGUAAAGGGCGCGUAGGCGGAUGGCAUAGUCAGAUGUGAAAUUCCCGGGCUUAACCUGGGGACUGCAUUUGAUACGUGUCGUCUUGAGUUCGGAAGAGGGUCGUGGAAUUCCCAGUGUAGAGGUGAAAUUCGUAGAUAUCAGGAGGAACACCUGUGGCGAAAGCGGCUCACUGGACCAUAACUGACGCUGAUGCACGAAAGCUAGGGGAGCAAACAGG
rnacentral:rRNA from 1 species